AUCCACCCUGCAGUUCUGCACCUUAUGGUUAAAAGUUCAUGUGCUGCAUUUUGUCUGAAUAUUGGGCUGGGACGUAGUGGAAACUAUACUCAGUAUCUGGUCUUGGUUUUGCUUUUUCACUUUCCCUUGAAAAUUGGAAAAAGUAGUAAAUCUCAACUUACCAGAGUAGAAUAGCUUAAUGUUAUGUAAUCCUUUAUAUUUGGUUCGCAAUUUGACCUCUUUCUUGUUGCAGAGUUUUGCAUGCCAUUCCUUCAAAUGAAGCAGUUGAUACUGUUGAGGUGCUGCAACCAAGGACGGAUCCAACAUUUGUAUCAUGGAAAGGCGGUGCAGUAAGUCCAGCUCUCACCUCACUACUUUUUUUCAUUUUCCCAAUUCAUUAUGAUGGUUUAAAUCAUAUUGAUGGUGUAGAAGUUUUUCAUGGGCACAUAUCAGACAAAAUUCUCAACUCUAUACAAGGGUUAGAUGGGUAUCUUUCCUGCAAUUUUGACAUUCUCUGGGAUGCACCUGGCUUCACCUGGAGUAAAUGAUAUCAAUUUGGUUGCCAUUGCAUCUAAGGGUAUAUA